rnacentral:rRNA from 1 species
GACGAACGCUGGCGGCGUGCUUAACACAUGCAAGUCGAACGAAGUGGCGAACGGGUGAGUAACGCGUAAUCAACCUGCCCUUCAGAGGGGGACAACAGUUGGAAACGACUGCUAAUACCGCAUACGGCAGGAGGGGAGUGCGUCUGAUUGGCUAGUUGGGGGGGAAACGGCCCACCAAGGGAAUGAUCAGUAGACGUGCUGAGAGGAGGAAAGGCCACAUUGGGACUGGGACACGGCCCAGACUCCUAAGGGAGGCAGCAGUGGGGAAUCUUCCGCAAUGGACGAAAGUCUGACGGAGCAACGCCGCGUGAGUGAUGACGGCCUUCGGGUUGUAAAGCUCUGUUAAUCGGGACGCGGUACCGGAAUAGAAAGCCACGGCUAACUACGUGCCAGCAGCCGCGGUAAUUC